rnacentral:tRNA from 1 species
GCAGGUAUGGUGUAAUGGAAUAGCACAAGAUUCUUCUAAAGUCUUAGUCAUGGUUCAAGUCCAUGUACCUGUACCA